AAUACAUUGUGAACCGCAACGUUAUCAAGCUAGGACCAGAUGCAAUUUACAAAUGUCCCGGAGGCAGAAAGCUCUUCUACAUCGCUAGCAACGUUGGUAGCAAUUUUACAGAAGCCUCCCACGCUUGCCAGAAGAGGGCUUACCAGUUGCCUGCUGGCAUAAUGAUAGACUGCAUGAGACGCUUUGAAGAAUCGCUGGGGUUUUCCAUCUCAAAGGGAGAGGGAACUUCUUGGACUGGAGCAUUUGAUACUCCUGACACAGCGUACGCCACAAGUGGGUAUACUUACUUCUUGUAUGUGAAACAACGCAGGAUCAUCUGUACUCCAUACUGAGUAUCCCCGCGGGGCGGCAUUCAGGCAGGCAGGUGAAGAAUUUCACUGGCCCAAGCGUGAACAAGGCAGGCGAUGGUCGUCCGAUCUCUUUCCCGUCACCACGCUCCUUCAAGCACACCACACAGCCCUGUCCCACCCCUCAUCCUUAACCCUUUUACCACUGCACAGUUGCCCUUUUUUGAUAAACAAGCCUUUUUUAAGUUUUAUUCAGGGUGCGCCGACUCCUCUGCUGCCAAUUCAUUUUCCAGUGUCACCAUACCUGUACAUGUAUGUUGUUGAUAGAGAAGUUCCCUAGAAGCCAGAAGUAGAAAACACCUCACUGCUCAUGCUGGCCGUUGAUUGUACAUUUCGUGAUAUGUUCCGACUAGCCAUUGCAAUCAAUCCUGGCUUUUUUCCUGAUCACGUUGAGAAUAACAGUCUUCAAUAUCUACAUAAUUAUAUGCGUGGGUACUACCAAGAGUUCUUAAGGUGACUCGCGCCUAUUUCUAAACUCGUCUUUUGCGCAGGUUCUCGCGCAUCCUACGUUCGAGAAAAGACAUGCAGAGUUGGCGUAGCGAGCUUGUAGCGCACUCCAGUUUCGAAGGGUCCAGCUCGAGCAGAUGGCCUGAGUACGAAACUCUCGUACUCGAGUCUAGAGUGUGAGCUUUUUUCUUCUUUUUUUUCACUCCUUCACUUGGCUAC